GUUUUCCAAGUCCUUUCACCUAUUUGCCAAAUCUUCUUUUUAAUAAAAAUAAUAAGUAGUUCCAGAUAUAAGAUAUACCCCAAAACCUUGACCAGAUUAAUAGUGUAGUUUUAUUAUAAAAAUGACGGCUCAUAUAUGACGGAGACCACAUUCAACUUCAAUUUACAAAUAAUUCUGCAACAUCAAAUAAAUAAAUGACAAUGUUAUACUGCACUAACCAAUAAGACAACUAUCUUAAGCAUACAAAACAAUUAGACCAAAACAAAGAAAGUGUCAAGCUGCAUUGACGUUAAACUACGGAUAUGUG
rnacentral:lncRNA from 1 species